UACCAUUAGAUCUAUUUGAUUUACAUCUCAUUUAAAAUUAAUAAUUAAUGGUUAAAAUUUCACCAUCUUAUUUUUAAGAUUUUAGUCUUAAAAAUUUUAGGCUAUAUAAUGUAAUGAUUUUGUUGCCAUUUUCCCUUCUGUUAUAAUUUUAUAUAAUAUAUAGGUGAUCAACGAAAAACAUAGCGAUGAUUUUAUGUGGUUAAUUUUAGCAAACUGUAUAAAAAGCCCAUAUUGAAUAUUUUCUAAGAGUUGAACAUCAUAAUUCAUAUGUAAUUAUGUUGGUGAUGCUUUUUCCAAAAGAGAAGAAAAAAGUAUUGAUGCGGAGACCAAGUCAACUAAAGAAGACAACAUGACAUUGACUUUGCUGCCAAACAUUGACUAUAGUACCAAACAAGAGACAUUCAUCUUGAAUUUAGAUCUAAGACAACCAAAAUCAGAAGCAACAAAACUUAUAAUCACAGCUUAUAUACACUCUUGUAAUUCUUCUCAACUUCCAUGGCCAUCCUCACUGAAUUACCAGAAGAACAAGAAGCGGCAAUGACAUAUGAUGUUUUCCUGAGUUUCAGAGGGAAAGACACUCGUCUGGGUUUUAUGGAUCACCUCUACCAAGCUUUGGUGAAUGAAAACAUCUCUACCUUUCUUGAUGAGGAAGAGGUUGAAACUGGGGAAGAACUUAAACCCGAGCUUGCAAGAGCUAUAAAAAGCUCUCGUGCUUCAAUAAUCGUCUUGUCUAAGAACUACGCGUCUUCAACAUGGUGUCUGGAUGAGCUUGUGAUCAUCCUUGAGCAACGAAAGGUCUCUAAUCAUAUUGUUCUCCCCAUUUUCUACAAUGUUGAGCCGACCCAUGUCAGGAAGCAAGAAAGCACUUUUAGAGAAGCGUUAUUUGUACACAAACAGAGGAUUGAGUCUGAAAAGGAUGCAGAGAAGAAAAUUGAAGGUGCUCAUAAGUUGGAGAUGUGGACGAAAGGACUUACAGAAAUUGCUGAUUUGAAAGGAAAAGAUGCAACUGGAAGGUAAAACAUUCAUACUAUAUUUCCACAAAAAUUCUUCAGUUUUUUAUGGAGAACUAAAGCAAACAUACAUCAUAUAAUGGAACCAAGUCCAGUACAUAUCCAACAACCCAUGGGGACUAAGCUGUCGAUACAUAUACAAAGUGGCCCACCAUUUUGGUUAAACUUUGUGUAUAUUUUUAUUUUAGUGCCUUUCAUAAUAAUUAAAAGGAUGGAAAAGACUAGUUAUUGUCUUAUUGAUCAG
rnacentral:lncRNA from 1 species